rnacentral:rRNA from 1 species
GAUGAACGCUGGCGGCGUGCCUAAUACAUGCAAGUCGAGCGAACGGACGAGAAGCUUGCUUUUCUGAUGUUAGCGGCGGACGGGUGAGUAACACGUGGAUAACCUACCUAUAAGACUGGGAUAACUUCGGGAAACCGGAGCUAAUACCGGAUAAUAUUUUGAACCGCAUGGUUCAAAAGUGAAAGACGGUCUUGCUGUCACUUAUAGAUGGAUCCGCGCUGCAUUAGCUAGUUGGUAAGGUAACGGCUUACCAAGGCAACGAUGCAUAGCCGACCUGAGAGGGUGAUCGGCCACACUGGAACUGAGACACGGUCCAGACUCCUACGGGAGGCAGCAGUAGGGAUUCUUCCGCAAUGGGCGAAAGCCUGACGGAGCAACGCCGCGUGAGCGAUGAAGGUCUUCGGAUCGUAAAACUCUGUUAUUAGGGAAGAACAUAUGUGUAAGUAACUGUGCACAUCUUGACGGUACCUAAUCAGAAAGCCACGGCUAACUACGUG